AUGAAUAUUUUUGGGCAAUUUGAACGAAACAAGGAGGUAAAUGCUUUGCUCUGAUAACGGAAUUGUAGUAUUGUCGGUUAGGUGCUAUCAUUUACCACAAGGUGAGACUAACCUCAAUGAGAACCGCAGGCAAGCGCGCCAUUGCGGCGCAAAGGCGUCAUGCAUAUUAAUCUCUCCUGCUGCUUGAAAAUACAAAGGUAUGGUUGUAUUUCUUGGCCCAUUUAGAUAGGGACGACAGUAAAAGAUGGGCCGAUUGAGUGUUAUCAUUUUGUCGAUAGUGCUGGGGGUCUGUUUUUGGAUUUUUUUCUAAAGAAAUAUAACUUGAUAGUACAGACUGAUAGAGAGGGAGGGGGAAGGCAAAACAGUUUAAGAGAUAAAAAGGUAAAUUUUGAUAACGCUUGGAACAACAUGUAUAUAAGGCAGCUACUCGCUCGAUAUAUUUACAUUUUAACAAACAUUUUGUCGAAAGCACAGUCUAUCAGCUUAAUGUUUUAGCAGUGAGGGAUUAUGGGGGAAUACACAUGCGUACAUUGCGAGGAUUUUCAUGAGCAAAGACUUGGCUGCGGAGGCUUCGACGUUUGUGCUGUUCGACGGUUCAGUUGAAGACAGACAGAAACUUACAUUGUUCAAAUAAAUCUGUCUCGCUAAUGUCACGCACGAGACUGUGAUGUUAGCGUUUUAAACAGCCUUA